ensembl:lncRNA
AACCGCCGUUAAACUGGAAAGAAGUUACAAUGAGUUACAAUGGAACAGAUUAUGUUUGUCUGCUGUAGAGUGACUGAAGAAGGAAUGCUGCCAUCAAAGGAUUUGUGUUAUGAAAAUGUCUGCAGACUGGUGUGUGCACUGAGGAUGGAGAAGUCCACUGCAGCAUCUGAAAAUGGUCCAGAGACACGGAUGAGACGCUCCAUCACUCCAGCUCUUACUGUCUCAUCAGGACCAGAUGCUGCUGUGGUCUCUUCAUCCUCAGUGACCCCAGCAGCCAGAGCAUCUAGAGAAAGACCAAAAGACACUGAGGAUUUGAUUUUGGUAGUGGUGCUCAUGGAGAGCAGCACACGAUUGUUUGGAGCAGACACAGCAGCAGUCAGAUUGUCCUGCAUGUGUUCUUCUGCUCUCGCUUCAAGGUUGUGUGGUGAGAGCCGACAUCAUGGUCUUCCUUACCUGUUGCUCAACGACAUCCCCGUUGAGAAGAGUGAGAUUAUGAAGCACAGCAGAACUGUCUCAGCUGUGUUGAGAUGAUAGUAAGAUGUGGGGUUCACCAUCUGUAAAUACAUGAUUGUUAGAACAGUAAGUUUGAAUGAAGCUUUGUUUCAUGUGUUGUUGACUUGUACAUGUAUGCAUUUAUUGUGAUGCCAACA